rnacentral:rRNA from 1 species
UACGGGGGGGGCAAGCGUUGUUCGGAAUUACUGGGCGUAAAGGGCUUGUAGGCGGCCUUCUAAGUCGGACGUGAAAUCCCUCGUCUUAACCGAGGAACUGCGUCCGAUACUGAAAGGCUUGAAUCCGGGAGAGGGAUGUGGAAUUCCAGGUGUAGCGGUGAAAUGCGUAGAUAUCUGGAGGAACACCGGUGGCGAAGGCGGCAUCCUGGACCGGCAUUGACGCUGAGGCGCGAAAGCUAGGGGAGCAAACGGG